ensembl:lncRNA
AGCUGACGCCCUGACUCCCACUGACCCUUCUUUCCUUCCUGCAUGUGGGGAGCUGGGGGCGUGUGGGAGGCCGCAGAAGAGGCUGAGGCCGGUGGCCGCGGCAGCCUGCAAGCGCCAACAGCACAUGAGCUCCCCUGGCUUCCUCCUCCUUGGAGGCAGCAGACCACGCCGAUUAACAGAGGAUCUGAGCCCUGCAGGUUUGACGCAAGGAUAAAGGAGAUGCCGGCCGUGCGCUGAGCGCAGAGCCAGCCCCAGUGAGCACCCCUCCCCUCCGAGCACGUCCUGGGUGCUCGGCACGUCGCCUAUGGGGGCGCCUACAGACAAUGCGUUCACACGUCCAGCUUCCCCACAAACCACGCCUCCCUGUAAGGCAAACUGGAGCGAUGUCUUUUUCAUCUACGCACAGCCUGGCCCAUGGCAGAUGCCCAAGAAAUGCUUCUUGAAUAAACGAUGCUGAACGCU